rnacentral:rRNA from 1 species
CCAGCUUGCUGCUCGUCGUCGAGCGGCGGACGGGUGAGUAAUGCAUAGGAUCUGCCCAGUCGUGGGGGAAACCUGGGGAACCCAGGCUAAUACCGCAUACGUCCUACGGGAGAAAGCGGGGGCUCUUCGGACCUCGCGCGAUUGGUGAGCCUAUGUCGGAUAGCUGGUUGGUGGGGUACGGCUCACCAAGGCGACGAUCCGUAGCUGGUCU